UACAGAGGUCUCAAGCGUUGUUCGGAUUCAUUGGGCGUAAAGGGUGCGUAGGUGGCGCUGUAAGUCGGGUGUGAAAUUUCGGAGCUUAACUCCGAAACUGCAUUCGAUACUGCGGUGCUUGAGGACUGGAGAGGAGACUGGAAUUCAUGGUGUAGCAGUGAAAUGCGUAGAGAUCAUGAGGAAGACCAGUGGCGAAGGCGGGUCUC
rnacentral:rRNA from 1 species